rnacentral:lncRNA from 1 species
CUUUAACAGGUAGUGCCUGUCAAGGGCCCAAUACAAAGGCUGUGAAUGAUGUGGAGAAUCUGAGCCCUCAGGCACCAGGGUGAAGCAAACAGUCCAAGAGUAAUGGUGUCAAGGAGGUGGUGGAGAGGAAGCAAGGAGAUCAAAAAGGCCAAAAAGCUUGGUGGGAACUGAAGGAAAAGGUCUUCACAGCCCCCUUGUACUGCACAUAUGCUGCAGGAAAAACUGCCACGAGUGCAAUGACUUGGUGAGCUCCUGGAGAAGACUUUCGCAGUGAGCAGGACUGUCCCUGAAGCAAAAGGAAGCUGGAAGAGCUUGGCUCUUCCCAAAGAAGAGAACUUUGAUCCUUCUCCUUGGCUGGACUGCAGAGCAGCAUUACACCAUCAUUUCUGAUGGCUCAUGAACUCUGUGAGCACACCUUCUCAUCCUGGCUGUGGUACCCCUGUGCUGUGGUGAUGUGCAGUUGCACUUCUGCCUGCCUGAAGGAUGUACACUACCCCCAGAAGAAACCAGUUCUGCCCUUUUCCCUGUCUGCUGGAGAGAAGAAUAAGAAAGCUGUUUCUCCUCCACAUGAUAGCAUCUGGAGAUAACAGAGAAGAGCCUUUGGGUUGAGCAUGUAGAGAAGAUGGAAGAAAGAAACAAAGAAGGAGGAAAAUGUAAGUAUUCCAUGAUAUACUGGAUUCUUUUGUUCUGCCUGUCU